rnacentral:rRNA from 1 species
GACGAACGCUGGCGGCGUGCUUAACACAUGCAAGUCGAACGAAGUGGGAACGGGUGAGUAAUACGUGGGUAACCUCCCUCCUUUUUGGGAUAAGCCUUGGAAACGGGGUCUAAACCGGAUAGAUGGGCCCGCGGGCUAUCCGGUUGUUGGUGGGGUGAUGGCCUACCAAGGCGGUGACGGGUAGCCGGCCUGAGAGGGUGACCGGCCACAAUGGGACUUAGAGACGGCCCAGACGCCUACGGGAGGCAGCAGUGGGGUAUAUUGCACAAUGGGCGAAAGUCUGACCGAGCAAUGCCGCGUGAGUGAGGAAGGUUUUCGGGUCGUAAAGCUCUGUUGUUAGGGAAGCGGUAUCUGACGAAAAAGCCACGGCUAACUACGUGCCAGCAGCCGCGGUAAUAC